rnacentral:rRNA from 1 species
AUUGAACGCUGGCGGCGUGCUUAACUCAUGCAAGUCGAUCGGUAACAGGUGUAGCAAUACAUGCUGACGAGAGGCGGACGGGUGAGGAACGCUUGGGAAUCUGCCUAUCAGCGGGGGACAACCCGGGGAAACCCGGGCUAAUACCGCAUACGCUCUACGGAGGAAAGCCGGGGACCGCAAGGCCUGGCGCUGAUAGAUGAGCCCAAGUCGGAUUAGCUAGUUGGCGGGGUAACGGCCCACCAAGGCGACGAUCCGUAGCUGGUCUGAGAGGACGAUCAGCCACACCGGAACUGAGACCAGGUCCGGACUCCUACGGGAGGCAGCAGUGGGGAAUAUUGGACAAUGGGCGAAAGCCUGAUCCAGCGACGCCGCGUGGGUGAAGAAGGCCUGCGGGUUGUAAAGCCCUUUCGGUAGGGACGAAAGCUCUCGACCUAACACGUCGGGAGGUUGACUUAACCUACAAAAGAAGCACCGGCUAACUCUGUGCCAGCAGCCGCCGUAAAAC